AUACGACGGGACGUGUUAUUGAUACGAUACGCAAUGAAAUUCCGGCUGCGUUCCGAUAUUCACUGCCAGUACUAAAAAUAUAUAGUUCGAGUCACAUAUAUUAUAGAUUUUCAGUACUGGCAAUGAAUAUCGGGACGCAGCCUCCAUUAUCUUGCCGCCGCGCUGUAUGUGUACGAUCUCGACGAGAUCUCUUUGCCAUCGGACAAACAAAACGAAAUCGAAUUUGCGACUGGGUUUUACAAUUGGCUCAGUGCUACACCAGUACUUGUUAUCACAGUUCAGGUAUUGGAAAACUACUUGCGCAGUAAUGGCAAAGUGUCGGAUGACAACUUGGGCCCAAUACUAGCAGAUGAUACUGGCCCAACCAUUCGCCAAUCAUUUGCCAGUGAUGGCUCAACACUGGCUGACAGAACCUCGGCCGAUAAUCUAGCAUUGGCUAAUUGAACGAAUUAAAAAGAAUACGCGGAAGAUACCUUUCUACCAAAGAAGAGCGGAUGUGCGUGUACAGCCCUGUCGAUUCCACGAAGACGUUAGUCGUUUUAUCGUUGCAAAAAUUGUCGAGAAGACUGGUUUCUUGUCGCCAAUGCAUGCAUGUAUGGUAUACACAUGCGAUGCAUACAUGUGAUUUUGUACCUGAGAAGAAAUCCGCAACAGAGGAAUAGUGAGUUAUGAACAUUGUCUCAUAUUCUUGAUUUAUGAAAAUUUUUCAUUACAAUUCUUUCUUGUUUUAAAAACUAUUUCUUUUAUAAAAUGUAUUUACACAAAAUGUUCCAUCUGUAUAAUAUCUUAACAGUGUAAUUUAAAAAUUUAUUAGAAUUAAAAAAUGAAAUAAAUAUACGCAAGAAAAUGAUGAAA